AUCCAGCUGACGAGUCCCAAAUAGGACGAAAUACGCUACCUGGAU
rnacentral:hammerhead_ribozyme from 1 species